CCUCCAUCCACACGGUUUCCUUAAGCAGAGCUUUUCUCCUCCUCUUCUCUGCUAGUGAAGCACUGCUUACCCUCCUAGCCUGCAGCAAGCCCUGCCCUGCCCCAUCUUUCUACCCAAUUUCUCGCUCUUCUGUUUCACACUCAUUUCUUUUUACUUUGGACUAAUUGUGGCUGUUGGGACUUUGGCUUGAUUGCUAAAAUACUUUACUUGUACUUCCUGAUGAUACAAACAAUCCUGCCCACUUCCUCUGCCAGAUAUUGCACCCACUCGUCAGGAUUUGUGCGUCCUUGACUCUGCCCCACCCAGUGCUCCCAGCAGGGGCAGGUGCAGGAAGCUCACUAGGUGGAGAUGUUGGAAUUGGUUUUUCUUGCAGACAAAGACCUGCGGACCAAGGGCUUCAGCCUAGAGUCGUGCCGCAGCAUGGUGAACCUCAUGGAUCGUGAUGGCAAUGGGAAGCUGGGCCUGGUGGAGUUCAACAUCCUGUGGAACCGCAUCCGGAAUUACCUGUCCAUCUUCCGGAAGUUUGACCUGGACAAGUCGGGCAGCAUGAGUGCCUACGAGAUGCGGAUGGCCAUUGAGUCGGCAGGCUUCAAGCUCAACAAGAAGCUGUACGAGCUCAUCAUCACCCGCUACUCGGAGCCCG
rnacentral:sRNA from 1 species